rnacentral:rRNA from 1 species
GUCAACGGACAAACCAUGCUGAAAGUAUCGGCUCUCGUCCGAUCACCGAAGUCAAGACAACCCUUAACGGUUUUUUCACCUGCCUUUAGCCACUGCUCUUUCUUAAUUAACUCAGUAUUCCUUAACGAAGUUGUGGAGGUAAUUGCAUUAAGUUGCAAAGGUACUCCGGAAGCCAACGCCUUGGGCCGAAGUCAAGCAGCAUCGGGCGCGGUCAGUACUUGGGAGGGUGACCACCAGGGAACACCACGUGCUGUUGACA